AAGGGAGACCUAAUUCAGGUAGGAGACGAAAAAAAAGUAGUCGCUACCAAGAAUCAAUCCCAAAAGGUCGGAGCGAGGCGAAAUUGGCUUUCAAACUAGGUUCUGGGUUCACACAAGACCUGAAUCAGGAACAAGGGCUAUUAGCUCAGGUGGUUAGAGCGCACCCCUGAUAAGGGUGAGGUCCCUGGUUCGAGUCCAGGAUGGCCCACCUGUACAGGUGGCAAAAAGAAAGAAAAGAAGCGAGGAAUCAGCACCUUAUCUUACUGACAUAGUAAGAGAGAAUGCUGGCUCUGAGUAAAGAGUCCAGAGGAACCUUGAAAACUGCAUAGAGCUAGGUGAAAAAGCCAAAAAAGAAAACCGCAA
rnacentral:tRNA from 1 species